rnacentral:rRNA from 1 species
AACCCUGGUGGCGAGUGGCGAACGGGUGAGUAAUGCAUCGGAACGUAUCUUCAAGUGGGGGGAUAACGCACCGAAAGGUGUGCUAAUACCGCAUAAUCUCUACGGAGAAAAGCAGGGGGAUCGGCAAGACCUUGCGCUUUUGGAGCGGCCGAUGUCUGAUUAGCUAGUUGGUGAGGUAAUGGCUCACCAAGGCGACGAUGCGUAGCCGACCUGAGAGGGUGAUCGGCCACACUGGGACUGAGACACGGCCCAGACUCC